rnacentral:rRNA from 1 species
CAGUAGCCGCGGUAAUACGAAGGGUGCAAGCGUUAAUCGGAAUUACUGGGCGUAAAGCGCGCGUAGGUGGUUCGCCAAGUUGGAUGUGAAAUCCCCGGGCUCAACCUGGGAAUGGCAGUGGAUACUGGCUCGCUAGAGUGUGUCAGAGGAUGGUGGAAUUCCCGGUGUAGCGGUGAAAUGCGUAGAGAUCGGGAGGAACAUCAGUGGCGAAGGCGGCCAUCUGGGACAACACUGACGCUGAGGCACGAAAGCGUGGGGAGCAAACAGGAUUAGAUACCCCCGUAGUCCCUGUCUCUUAUAC